ACGCUCGACACCUACGAGAGGCAGCAGUUAGGAAUAUUGGGCAAUGGAGGAAACUCUGACCCAGCAACGCCGCGUGAAGGAAGAAGGUUUUCGGGUUGUAAACUUCUGAUCUAGGGGAAGAAGGAAGUGACGGUACCCUAGGAGAAAGCCACGGCUAACUACGUACCAGCAGCCGCGGUAAUCUGAGCGGGCUGGCAAGGC
rnacentral:rRNA from 1 species